rnacentral:rRNA from 1 species
UCAAGUAAUUAAGUGCAUGUGGUGGAUGCCUUGGCAGUCAGAGGCGAUGAAAGACGUGAUAGCCUGCGAAAAGCUCCGGGGAGGCGGCAAAUAUCCUUUGAUCCGGAGAUGUCUGAAUGGGGGAACCCACCUACUUUAAGGUAGGUAUUGCAACAUGAAUACAUAGUGUUGCAAGGCGAACGAGGGGAAGUGAAACAUCUCAGUACCCUUAGGAAAAGAAAUCAAUUGAGAUUCCCUCAGUAGCGGCGAGCGAACGGGGAUCAGCCCAUUAAGUUAUGUGUGUUUUAGUGGAACGCUCUGGGAAGUGCGAACGUAGAGGGUGAUAUUCCCGUACACGAAAGGGCACACAUAAUGAUGACGAGUAGGGCGAGGCACGUGAAACCUUGUCUGAAUAUGGGGGGACCAUCCUCCAAGGCUAAAUACUCCUGACUGACCGAUAGUGAACCAGUACCGUGAGGGAAAGGCGAAAAGAACCCCUGUGAGGGGAGUGAAAUAGAUCCUGAAACCGCAUGCAUACAAGCAGUGGGAGCACCUUCGUGGUGUGACUGCGUACCUUUUGUAUAAUGGGUCAGCGACUUAUAUUCAGUAGCGAGGUUAACCGUAUAGGGGAGCCGUAGAGAAAUCGAGUCUUAAUAGGGCGUUUAGUUGCUGGGUAUAGACCCGAAACCAGGCGAUCUAUCCAUGAGCAGGUUGAAGGUUGGGUAACACUAACUGGAGGACCGAACCCACUGUCGUUGAAAAGCCAGGGGAUGACUUGUGGAUAGGGGUGAAAGGCUAAUCAAGCCUGGUGAUAGCUGGUUCUCCCCGAAAGCUAUUUAGGUAGCGCCUCGGACGAAUACCAUAGGGGGUAGAGCACUGUUUCGGCUAGGGGGUCAUCCCGACUUACCAAACCGAUGCAAACUCCGAAUACCUAUGAGUACUAUCCGGGAGACAGACUGCGGGUGCUAACGUCCGUAGUCAAGAGGAAAACAAUCCAGACCGCCAGCUAAGGCCCCAAAAUCAUAGUUAAGUGGGAAACGAUGUGGGAAGGCAUAGACAGCUAGGAGGUUGGCUUAGAAGCAGCCACCCUUUAAAGAAAGCGUAAUAGCUCACUAGUCGAGUCGGCCUGCGCGGAAGAUGUAACGGGGCUAAAACUAUGUGCCGAAGCUGCGGAUGUAUACUUUGUAUACGUGGUAGGGGAGCGUUCUGUAAGCCGAUGAAGGUGUGUUGAGAAGCAUGCUGGAGGUAUCAGAAGUGCGAAUGCUGACGUGAGUAACGACAAAACGGGUGAAAAACCCGUUCGCCGAAAGACCAAGGGUUCCAGUCCAACGUUAAUCGGGGCUGGGUGAGUCGACCCCUAAGGCGAGGCCGAAAGGCGUAGUCGAUGGGAAAAUGGUUAAUAUUCCAUUACUUCUGUGUAAUGCGAUGAGAGGACGGAGAAGGCUAAAUCAGCCUGGCGUUGGUUGUCCAGGUGAAAGGAUGUAGGCAUGUAUCUUAGGCAAAUCCGGGGUACUCUAUGCUGAGAUCUGAUAGCAAGCUGUACUUGUACAGCGAAGUGGUUGAUGCCAUGCUUCCAGGAAAAGUCUCUAAGCUUCAGUUACACAGGAAUCGUACCCGAAACCGACACAGGUGGUCAGGUCGAGUAGACCAAGGCGCUUGAGAGAACUCUGCUGAAGGAACUAGGCAAAAUGGUACCGUAACUUCGGGAGAAGGUACGCUGUUGUUGGUGAUGGAACUCGCUUCCUGAGCUGACGACAGCCGCAGAAACCAGGCCGCUGCAACUGUUUAUUAAAAACAUAGCACUCUGCAAACACGAAAGUGGACGUAUAGGGUGUGAUGCCUGCCCGGUGCUGGAAGGUUAAUUGAUGGGGUUAGCGUAAGCGAAGCUCUUGAUCGAAGCCCCAGUAAACGGCGGCCGUAACUAUAACGGUCCUAAGGUAGCGAAAUUCCUUGUCGGGUAAGUUCCGACCUGCACGAAUGGCAUAAUGAUGGCGGCGCUGUCUCCAGCAGAGGCUCAGUGAAAUCGAAAUCGCUGUGAAGAUGCAGUGUACCCGCGGCUAGACGGAAAGACCCCGUGAACCUUUACUGCAGCUUGACACUGAACUUUGACCUUACUUGUGUAGGAUAGGUGGGAGGCUUUGAAGCUGGAACGCUAGUUCCAGUGGAGCCGUCCUUGAAAUACCACCCUGGUAAUGUUGAGGUUCUAACUCUGUCCCGUGAUCCGGGACGAGGACCGUGUCUGGUGGGUAGUUUGACUGGGGCGGUCUCCUCCUAAAGAGUAACGGAGGAGUACGAAGGUGCGCUCAGCGUGGUCGGAAAUCACGCGUAGAGUAUAAAGGCAAAAGCGCGCUUAACUGCGAGACCCACAAGUCGAGCAGGUACGAAAGGAGGUCUUAGUGAUCCGGUGGUUCUGUAUGGAAGGGCCAUCGCUCAACGGAUAAAAGGUACUCUGGGGAUAACAGGCUGAUACCGCCCAAGAGUUCAUAUCGACGGCGGUGUUUGGCACCUCGAUGUCGGCUCAUCUCAUCCUGGGGCUGAAGCAGGUCCCAAGGGGAUGGCUGUUCGCCAUUUAAAGAGGUACGCGAGCUGGGUUUAGAACGUCGUGAGACAGUUCGGUCCCUAUCUACCGUGGGCGCUGGAAAUUUGAGAGGAUCUGCUCCUAGUACGAGAGGACCAGAGUGGACGAACCUCUGGUGUACCGGUUGUGACGCCAGUCGCAUCGCCGGGUAGCUAUGUUCGGAAGGGAUAACCGCUGAAAGCAUCUAAGCGGGAAGCCUACCUCAAGAUAAGAUUUCCCUAGGACUUUAUGUCCUCUAAAGAGCCGUUCGAGACUAGGACGUUGAUAGGUUGGAUGUGGAAGCAUAGUGAUAUGUGAAGCUGACCAAUACUAAUUGCUCGUGAGGCUUGACUAU